AACGAGCGCACCCUCGUUUUUAGUUGCCAUCAUUAAGUUGGGCACUCUAGAGAGACUGCCGGUGACAAACCGGAGGAAGGUGGGGAUGACGUCAAGUCAUCAUGCCCCUUACGCCUUGGGCUACACACGUACUACAAUGGCCGGGACAAAGAGUCGCAAGCAUGCGAAUGCAAGCUAAUCUCAUAAACCCGGUCUUAGUUCAGAUUGCAGGCUGCAACUCGCCUGCAUGAAGGCGGAAUCGCUAGUAAUCGCAGGUCAGCAUACUGCGGUGAAUACGUUCCCGGGCCUUGUACACACCGCCCGUCACACCAUGGAAGCUGGUCACGCCCGAAGUCGUUAUCUCAACCCGCAAGGGAGGGAGGCGCCUAAGGCAGGGCUGGUGACUGGGGUGAAGUCGUAACAAGGUAGCCGUACCGGAAGGUGCGGCUGGAUCACCUCCUUA
rnacentral:rRNA from 1 species